rnacentral:rRNA from 1 species
CUACGGGGCGCUCCAGUCGAGGAAAUUUUACAAUGCUCGAAAGAGUGAUAGAAUGAGUCAGAGUGUUUCUCUUAGAGAAACUUUUUUCUGUUGUAAAAAGACAGAAGAAUAAGGACUGGGAAAGACCGGUGCCAGCCGCCGCGGUAAUACCGGCGGUCCGAGUCGCAUCCACAUUUAUUGGGUCUAAAACAUUCGUAGCUUGUUUUAUAAGUCUCUUGUGAAAUUUUAUAUCUCAAGUAUAAAGCGCGCAAGAGAUACUAUAUUACUAGAGACCGGAAGACGCAAAGAGUAUGAUUGAGGUAGCGGUAAAAUGUGUUAAUCUCAAUUAGACCAACAACAGCGAAGGCACUUUGCGAGUACGGAUCUGACAGUGAGGAAUGAAGGCUAGGGGCGCAAAAGGGAUUAGAUACCCCGGUAGUC